AACGAACGCUGGCGGCAGGCUUAACACAUGCAAGUCGAGCGCGUAGCAAUACGAGCGGCAGACGGGUGAGUAACGCGUGGGAAUCUACCCUUUUCUACGGAAUAACGCAGGGAAACUUGUGCUAAUACCGUAUGAGCCCUUCGGGGGAAAGAUUUAUCGGGAAAGGAUGAGCCCGCGUUGGAUUAGCUAGUUGGUGGGGUAAAGGCCUACCAAGGCGACGAUCCAUAGCUGGUCUGAGAGGAUGAUCAGCCACAUUGGGGACUGAGACACGGCCCAAAUCUCCUACGGGGAGGCAGCAGUGGGGAAUAUUGGACAAUGGGCGCAAGCCUGAUCCAGCAUGCCGCGUGAGUGAUGAAGGCCCCUAGGGUUGUAAAGCUCUUUCACCGGUGAAGAUAAUGACGGUAACCGGAGAAGAAGCCCCGGCUAACUUCGUGCCAGCAGCCGCGGUAAUACGAAGGGGGUCUAGCGUUGUUCGGAAUUACUGGGCGUAAAGCGCACGUAGGCGGAUUGUUAAGUGAGGGGUGAAAUCCCAGGGCUCAACCCUGGAACUGCCUUUCAUACUGGCAAUCUAGAGUCCAGAAGAGGUGAGUGGAAUUCCGAGUGUAGAGGUGAAAUUCGUAGAUAUUCGGAGGAACACCAGUGGCGAAGGCGGCUCACUGGUCUGGUACUGACGCUGAGGUGCGAAAGCGUGGGGAGCAAACA
rnacentral:rRNA from 1 species